CUGCAACUGGGCUCCUUUACUCCCUGGUGCUCACUGCGCAAUGGCUACCAAAGCAGCCUCCUUGGUAGUGUGUGCAGCCUGUUGCUGUUAUGUGCUGCCCUAAGGCACCUUCAAGACCACU
rnacentral:snoRNA from 1 species